GACGAACGCUGGCGGCGUGCCUAAUACAUGCAAGUCGAGCGGACUUUCAAGAAGCUUGCUUUUUGAAAGUUAGCGGCGGACGGGUGAAUAACACGUGGGCAACCUGCCUGUAAGACGGGGAUAACUCCGGGAAACCGGGGCUAAUACCGGAUAAUAUCUUUCUUCGCAUGAAGGAAGGUUGAAAGGCGGCGCAAGCUGCCGCUUGCAGAUGGGCCCGCGGCGCAUUAGCUAGUUGGUGAGGUAACGGCUCACCAAGGCGACGAUGCGUAGCCGACCUGAGAGGGUGAUCGGCCACACUGGGACUGAGACACGGCCCAGACUCCUACGGGAGGCAGCAGUAGGGAAUCUUCCGCAAUGGACGAAAGUCUGACGGAGCAACGCUGCGUGAGCGAAGAAGGUCUUCGGAUCGUAAAGCUCUGUUGUCAGGUAAGAACAAGUACCGUUCGAAUAGGGCGGUACCUUGACGGUACCUGACCAGAAAGCCACGGCUAACUACGUGCCAGCCGCCGCCGUAA
rnacentral:rRNA from 1 species